UCCCUGGUGGCUCAGACGCUAAAGCAUCUGCCUACCAUGCAGGAGACCUGGGUUCGAUUCCUGGUCGGGAAG
rnacentral:tRNA from 1 species